AUUGCUGUUUGUGAGUAUCCAAGAGAGAGCAAAACAACGGCAUUCUUUACCAACAUGGCGGGAUAAAUGAUGCUGAUGAUGAUCAAGCUCUGAUGGACGCUACGGACAUCCAACCAUCUUUGAAGCGCACACCACGGCUAGGGUUCGGAAUUCUGGGACGACGGCGGCCGCCAUGCACAACUCAGCGGUAACCCUCAAUCGUUCUCUUCCUAUCGUCUACGGAGUUUGGACCCUCAGAAUAUUGCGUGUUUUCGUCGUAUUGAUACGACAUCUCGUCUGAUUGAUCUUGCUGCGUAUUUCAUCGAAUUAUCUGGUCGUCUUCGAGCCCGUCCGAGAUCUUCGAGAAGCCUGUCAAGAAGUUGAAGACGCCCCAAAGCGACCGCAAGAUCUGCGUUAAGGAAUUGGAGUUGGAAGCUAAGCUUGAGGAUAGAUCCAAGAAACACAGACGCAAAAGUAGGGGCUGGAAGCAUCACACAAAUUCACCACAUAUGGGUUUCUAGCUCAAGGCACAAGCAGGAGAACAAGAAAACUGCCAUCCCAUGGCCAUCAAGCAAACAAGAUCCGGAAGACUGCUGCACACAUGAAGAUGAUGGUCUUAGAGACACAGAAGUCGAAGAGUUUCUUCACUCGAGGUUCAAGAAUGGGAUGAAGCUGGUCCAUAUCUUUCACAGACAUGUUCUGAUCAAAGAUGGUGACUCGCCAAGUCAUGAUGUGCGGGUGAAGGAAGAAUGGGAAAACCAUGUUAUUGGCCCUGAGAUUCUGAUGAAUUCUGAUAGUGAGUCAAUAACAUGGUUUCUCUUCCCAAGAUGGUGAGAAACCAACCUACUUGUAAUGAUUCUGAUGCAGAAACUAGGUUGUGCCGUACAAGGAGUUCAAGAAAGUGUCAUUCCAAGAAAAGGAGAUCAAAGGAAGAGAAACUAGGAAAAAGACAAAAGGACAGAAAAGAGAUCCUAAAAGCAGAAGAACACAGGAUUGAUGUAUAAAGGUGAGAUAUAACUUACUCAAACGUUCUUGUAGAAUUAAAAAAAAAAGUAAUGAUUUCACGCAUUUGAUGGAUCA